rnacentral:rRNA from 1 species
UACAGAGGUCUCAAGCGUUUGUUCGGAUUCAUUGGGCGUAAAGGGUGCGUAGGUGGCGCGCUAAGUCAGGUGUGAAAUUUCGGAGCUUAACUCCGAAACUGCAUUUGAUACUGGCGUGCUUGAGGACUGGAGAGGAGACUGGAAUUCACGGUGUAGCAGUAGAAAUGCGUAGAGAUCGUGAGGAAGACCAGUGGGCGAAGGCGGGUCUCUGGGCAAUAACUGACGCUGAGGAGCGAAAGGCGUGGGGAGCGAACAGG